AUUGAACGCUGGCGGCAGGCCUAACACAUGCAAGUCGAGCGGAUGAAGGGAGCUUGCUUCUGGAUUCAGCGGCGGACGGGUGAGUAAUGCCUAGGAAGCUGCCUGUUAGUGGGGGAUAACGUCCUGAAACGGGCGCUAAUACCGCAUACUGCCUGAGGGAGAAAGUCGGGGAUCUUCGGACCUCACGCUAUCAGAUGAGCCUAGGUCGGAUUAGCUAGUUGGUGGGGUAAAUGCCUACCAAGGCGACGAUCCGUAACUGGUCUGAGAGGAUGAUCAGUCACACUGGAACUGAGAGACGUUCCAGGCUCCUAGGGGAGGCCCCAGUGGUGAAGUAUGGCUGAUAGGCGUAAUCCUCAGACAACAAUGCCGCGUGCACGACCACGGCACUAGGUUCGUAAAGCCCUUUGAGUAGGGAGGGAGGGUGGUUAACUAUAACCUCGGCGUUUUGAAGUUCCCAAUCGAAUACGGACCGGCUAACCGCGUG
rnacentral:rRNA from 1 species